UAACACAUGCAAGUCGAACGAGAAGAUGGCUUCUGAUUCGUUCGGGAUGAGGAGGCCGGCAGAAAGUGGCGAACGGGUGAGUAACGCGUGGGUAAUCUACCCGUAAGUGGGGGAAACCCUCAGAAAGGAGGAUUAAUACAGCAUAAGAUCUUCACUUCCCAAGAAGAGAAGAGGAAAGAUGGCCUGUAUAAUAUGCUAUCGCUUUCGGAUGAGCAUGAGUCUUAUUAGUUAGUUGGUGGGGUAAUGGCCUACCAAGACCACAAUGGGUAGCCGGUUUGAGAGGAUGUACGGCCACACUGGGACUGAGAUACGGCCCAGACUCAUACGGGAGGCAGCAGUGGGGAAUAUUGCGCAAUGGGGGAUACCCUGAAGCAGCGACGCGGAGUGGAUGAUGAAGGCCUUUGGGUUGUAAAGUCUUGUUGUGGGGGAAGAAACCUUAAGGGUCCAAUAGGCCCUUAAGUUGACGGUACCCCAUAGAGUAAGCUCCGGCUAAUUAUUGCCAGCAGCCGCGGUAA
rnacentral:rRNA from 1 species